rnacentral:lncRNA from 1 species
GACAUUUCUCCAAAAAGUACAAUCUUUGUCCCCAUGUGCAGUUGCUCUGGAUACAGAUACUUUUGUACCUGUUUCCUCCAGCAUCUUCACAAGGUCCUUUUCACACCAAAGUACGUUCAUCUCUAGGAGACAGAACGUGUCUCCUUCCUGAGUGGUAUGACGGCUGCGUGGUCCCAUGGUGUUUAUACUUGCGUACUAUUGUUUGUACAGAUGAACGUGGUACCUUCAGGUGUUUGGAAAUUGCUCCCAAGGAUGAACCAGACUUCUGGAGGUCUACAAUUUUUUUCUGAGGUCUUGCCCGAUUUAUUUUGAUUUUCCCAUGAUGUCAAGCAAAUAUCUCUGUGAUUAGGCCUAACUACAGGGAUGUCCACAAAGAGACCCAAGAGCACAGCCAGUGUGGACAGUAAGGGGAAGGCCAAAGGACUACCCUUAGGAUGAGCUCCUCCUGGUCUACGGCAGGGACUUAAUCUACGUAUCCAGCUUCUACCUGCUUCUAAAAGUGGAAGCAAAGGACAGGCACCUAAAGGUUAAACCCUUGACAUUCCAGGAAGUGAAUGUAAGCCCCGCCCUCCUCUCAUUUGUAGUUCCUAUGGUGGCCUGCAUAACAUGGGACAGUGCUAGUAACAGUGGCUUGACUGCGGCUGGUGCUGUUCCCCUAGUCCAUGGACCUCUCCGACACCUGAAGGACUGGGGACGAAGGAAAGGUAACAGUCUAGUCCCCCCGGACCCUCUGAGCCACCUUCACCACUCAUAUCACCCUCAAUCCCUCCACCAAGACAGUUCAGGGGGCCACCAGGCAGUCAGUGGUGAGGCAUGCCAAGACCUGUGAACAGCCAAGAACCACCGAAUAACAUAAACUACCCGCCAGAAGCCCUCAACCCCAGUAACCCAUCACCAUGACCCUGAAAAUACCAUCAGAACAGAAAGACACACUCCAGAUGGCUGUUCAUGUUUACAUCCCCACUAGGGAAUCCAUCCAUAGAUACCACAAGCGUCCAGCCUUUGCACUUCCUCCAGCACCAGUCCCAGCAUCAACUCAGUUCCCGGUUUCCAGUACCAGACCACGAAACGAGACACAGACCUUCACUUCACAGAUUGUUCUUCCUCCCCUCUACAGACCCGGUACCCAGCCAUGGUUACCAGCCCCUUCGUCAACCCUGGACACAGCAUUGGCCACCACAACUGCCACCUCCACCCAGCCACUGAAUAUACAUUUUUCUAUGGUGUUCAUCAUUUUUUUCAGCAUACCUUUUGAUGAGCAGUUGAUUAGAUUUUUCUGCUAUGAUUUCAUGACUUAUUGAUGUAAUUCCUUAUUAUUUAUUGAACUGUUUAUUUACUGAAUUAUUGAUUAUCUUUUAACUUGAUUGAAAUGUGUACAUGGUUUAACUUAAUAUACAGUAUAAUAUAAAUAAUAUUAACAUUGCUGUUUACAUAUAGUAAUAAAGUGGUAACACAUACACCUCUAUAAACAUCACUGGAACUACAAAUCUUUGCAUCCAGCCUUAGCAUGUACUUGACAGUACAACAAAACUGAUGAACAGGAAUUACAUUUAAUCUACUGGGUAGCCAAAAAAGAUCUACAGUGCCUUGCAAAAGUAUUCACCCCCUUGGUGAUUUUCCUAUUUUGUUGCAUUACAACCUGUUAUUUAAAUGUAUUUUUAUUUGGAUUUCAUGUAAUGGACAUACACAAAAUAGUCCAAAUUGGUGAAGUGAAAUGAAAAAAAAAUACUUUUUUUCAAAAAGAUUAUAUAAAAUAAAAAACGGAAAAGUAGUGCAUGCAUAUGUAUUCACCCCCUUUGCUAUGAAGCCCCUAAAUAAGAUCUGGUGCAACCAAUUACCUUCAGAAGUCACAUAAUUAGUUAAAUAAAGUCCACCUGUGUGCAAUCUAAGUGUCACAUGAUCUUAGUAUGCAUACACCUGUUCUGAAAGGCCCCAGAGUCUGCAACACCACUAAGCAAGGGGCACCACUAAGCAAGAGGCACUAUGAAGGCCAAGGAGCUCUCCAAACAGGUCAGGGACAAAGUUGUGGAGAAGUACAGAUCAGGGUUGGGUUAUAAAAACUAUCAGAAGCUUUGAACAUCCCACAGAGCACCAUUAAAUCCAUUAUUAAAUAAUGGAAAGAAUAUUGCACCACAACAAACCUGCCAAUAGAGGGCUGCCCACCAAAACUCACGAACCAGGCAAGGAGGGCAUUAAUCAGAGAGGCAACAAAGAGACCAAAGAUAACCCUGAAGAAGAUGCAAAGCUCCACAGUGGAGAUUGGAGUAUCUGUCCAUAGGACCACUUUAAGCCAUACACUCCACAGAGCUGGGCUUUACGGAAGAGUGGCCAGAAAAAAAUUAGCAAACAUGUUUGGUGUUCACCAACCCAACACCUCUCAUCACCCAGAGAACACCAUCCCCACAGUGAAGCAUGGUGGUGGCACCAUCAUGCUGUGGGGGAUGUUUUUAAUCGUUAGGGACUGAGAAACUGGUCAGAAUUGAAGGAAUGAUGGGUGGCGCUAAAUACAGGGAAAUUCUUGCGGGAAACCUGUUUCAGUCUUCCAGAGAUUUGAGACUGGGACGGAGGUUCACCUUCCAGCAGGACAAUGACCCUAAGCCUACUGCUAAAGCAACACUUGAGUGGUUUAAGGGGAAACAUUUAAAUGUCUUGGAAUGGCCUAGUCAAAGCCCAGACCUCAAUCCAAUUGAGAAUCUGUGGUAUGACUUAAAGAUUGCUGUACACCAGCAGAACCCAUCCAACUUGAAGGAGCUGGAGCAGUUUUGAGUUGAAGAAUGGGCUAAAAUCCCAGCGGCUAGAUGUGCCAUGCUUAUAGAGACAUACCCCAAGAGACUUGCAGCUGUAAUUGCUUCAAAAGGUGGCUCUACAAAGUAUUGACUUUGGGGUGGUGAAUAGUUAUGCACACUCAAGUUUUCAGUUUUUUUGUCUUAUUUCUUGUUUGUUUCACAAUAAAAAAAUGAAACACCAUUGAUCAAGUGCUUUGAAGUACACUGCUCAGCGAUUUCAACGCAUGCAUCUCAGCUCAGGAAUCAAACUUAACAGCACUAGGAUUUACACAUCCUUUGCACAUCCUUUGCAAGCCAACAUAACUUUUAGGCCUGAUGUGUUUGGUAAACUAUGAGCUUCAGGGCACUGUAUUAGGGUAAAACAAAUGUGUCACUGGGCUACACACAAUACCCCAUAAUGUCAAAGUGUAAUUAAGGUUUUUUGAAAUUUUUACAAAUUAAUAAAAAAUGUAAAGCUGAAAUGUCUAAGUCAAUAAGUAUUCAGGAGUAAACAUUUGCUUAACAAGUCACAUAAUAAGUUGUAUGUACUCAUUCUGUAUGCAAUAAUAGUGUUUCACAUGAUUUUUGGAUGACUACCUUAUCUCUGUACUCCACACGUAUGUGUGGAGUACAGAGAUAAGGAUGGAUCAACAAUGUUGAUAAGGAUGGAUCAACAAUGUUGUGGUCCCGUGUGGCUCAGUUGGUUGGGCAUGGCACUUGCAACGCCAGGGUUUAAUUUCCCCCGGGGACCAGUACGAAUGAAAAUGUAUGUACUCACUACCGUACGUCGCUCUGCAUAUGAGUCUGCUAAAUGACUAAAAUGUAAAAUUCCACAAUACUAACCUAAUUGACAGAGUGAAAAGAAAGAAGUCUGUACAGAAUAAAAACAUUCCAAAACAUG